UCAAGAUUUAAGCCAAAAAUUAGACUAGCUAGAGGAGUAGUGCAUCAGUAAACAUGGAGGGGAAAGAAAUGAUGGUGUAGCAUUAAUGCUAAUAAUUUUAGUAGAGGGAUCCAUGGCUGGAGAUUAUGGGAGCUGCAUUGUUGACUGCAUUAAAGACAAAGCCAUUGAUUGUAUUAUGUAACCUCAGAUAUGUCUCCCUGCUUGUGCUGCAAAAUGUGCCAUUGAACUUCCUCCUCCAUCAACACCAACUCAUGCUGCAAAUUAUGCUUGUAAUAUUGGAUGUGCUUUGAGCCAAUGCAAGAACUUCAUGAUCCUAAAUGAUGGAGAGAAGCUUGGAGUAUGCAUGGCUAGUUGCAGUGACAAGUACUGUGCCACAAAGGCUGCAGCUGCUUCAUGAACUUGGUUUCUUAUAUGUUUCUACUUGUAGUAUCUAGUAAUAAUAUCAAUAAUUUUGGAGGCUAAGAAUAAAUGCUCGCCUCCAUUGUUGCCCUCAUGGAGGAACUAGGCUGAAUACUGUGUGGUGUGAAUGUGAUCUUAUGACAUUCAAAUAUAUGAAAGUUUUACAUUUCAGUUUA